UACAGAGGUCUCGAGCGUUGUUCGGAUUCAUUGGGCGUAAAGGGUGCGUAGGUGGCAGGGUAAGUCGGAUGUGAAAUCCCGGAGCUUAACUCCGGAACUGCAUUCGAUACUGCUUUGCUGGAGUACUGGAGAGGAGAUCGGAAUUUACGGUGUAGCAGUGAAAUGCGUAGAUAUCGUAAGGAAGACCAGUGGCGAAGGCGGAUCUCUGGACAGUUACUGACACUGAGGCACGAAGGCCAGGGGAGCAAACGGG
rnacentral:rRNA from 1 species